CAGAGUUCAUGCCCUCGCGGGUAGAUCUCCACCCUUGAAUACCUUACCUUUGUUGCUUUGGCGGGCCACGUCCGCGUGUCGGCUUCGGCUGGCUGCGCCCGCCAGAGGACCCAAACUCUUUUUGUUUAGUGAUGUCUGAGUAUUAUAUAAUAGUUA
rnacentral:misc_RNA from 1 species